CGAGUUAUUCAACUCCCAAACCCUAUGUGAACUUACCACUUGUUGCUUCGGCGCGCGCUUCGGCGCCGCCGAGGACACUUAAACUCUUUGUUUUUAUAAGCAUUUCUGAGUGGCCGAAAGGCAAAAAUACAAAUGAAUCAAAACUUUCAACAACGGAUCUCUUGGUUCUGGCAUCGAUGAAGAACGCAGCGAAAUGCGAUAAGUAAUGUGAAUUGCAGAAUUCAGUGAAUCAUCGAAUCUUUGAACGCACAUUGCGCCCGCCAGCAUUCUGGCGGGCAUGCCUGUUCGAGCGUCAUUUCAACCCUCGAGCCCGACUCUUUUGAGGACGGCUCGGCGUUGGGGGACGGCAGACUCCCCCCGGCAUCUCGCCGGGGACGCCGCCCCCGAAAUCUAGUGGCGGCCCUCCGAGGCGACCUCUGCGUAGUAACUUGUUCUCGCACCGGAAAGCUCAGAGCGGCCACGCCGUAAAACCCCAACUUUUUUCAGGUUGACCUCGAAGUCAGGUA
rnacentral:rRNA from 1 species